CAAUUUAAAGCUUUAUAGGAAGCAUUCUACUUACACUAGGGAGGUUAUUGUGCAAUUCAAUAUAAAUUGA
rnacentral:tRNA from 1 species